CUUUUCAAACAUUUUAUUGACAUUUAAUAUACAUGAGGAACGUGGACAAGUUAUAAGGGUACAGGUUUUUUUUGGCCAACCGAACGCUCCCUUCCACCCCUCCCCUGAUUAAGAGCAAUGCCCCAAAGGGCUCCGGUCCCCCGUCCUCGUCACUACAUCCCCAGGGUGACCAUUAUUCCAGCUGCUCAGAGUUUUGCCUGUUUUUACACUUCACACGAAUGGAAGCAUGAGGCUGGGUUCCACCGUGGGUUGAAGCCCACAGCAUGGUUUAAGUUUUGGGAUGUUCCAGUGGCCCCUUCUCACCGCCAGAGAGCCCAGAGGGGUAGAAUGGUGCCUUCCCUGUCCCACAGGCCACGUGGGUGUCAGGACAGGGACUGGAGAGCACAGAGCGAAGGGGGUGGGGGGAGGUAGUUGUGAUUUUUAGAAAAAAGCCACAGCAUCUUUUCCCUUGUGCUGCGUAUCUGGGGCUUCCACCUGGUGUGCACAGAUGGGGAGAGAAGGGGAGCUGCAGAGCCAUAGCAAAGCCUGCCCCAGGGGGUCACCAGACCUCCCACCCCCAGAAGUCCUUACUUCUCCAGGCAGGAUGCUGGGGCACCCACGUCCUCUUUCCUGGCCAGUGAACCUCUGCCCUGCAGGGCUGGCUCCUGUCACCCCUGCUUUUAUGCCCAGUGGGGCAGGACAGGGGAUCCAGGGGCUGUGGUCUUUGUGUGUCCUGGAGCCCCCAGCUCCUGGCUGCCUGGUCUGCCCUCUCCCCUCGCUGAGAGCUGCUGCCUCGCGGAUUCCACUCUUUGUCCCAGGAUUGAGGAGAGGCUUCUUUUCUGGGUGCUUCAAAUCCCUUGGGCCAAUGAGUAUCUGCAGAGAAGGACCCAUUUCCAAUUUCCAGUCCAUCGCCCAUGGCCACCUUGAGUCUCCGUCCUGGAGUUCCCACUGUGGCAUAAUGGGAUCAGCAGCCUCUUGGGAGCGCUGAGAUGCAGGUUCAAUCCCCGGCUCUGCACAGAGGGUUAAGGAUCCAGGCUUGCCGCAGCUGUGACUUAGGGCGCAAUUGGGAACUGCAGCUUGGAUCUGAUCCCUGGACCCAGGAACUCUGUCCUUAUGCUUUGGGGUGGCCAAAAAAGAAAAUCAACAAUAUUCAAUUUAAAUUAAAAAAAAAUGUCUCUGGCCUGUGGUUCAACCCUAAGCCCACAUCCUGGGCUUCUCCUCUGGGGAAGGCUGUUAGGAUCAAGCGAGGUGGCGGCUUUGUCCCAGCUGAGGUCGCCGCCAGCUAUGUAGCCAAGCCUCCCACCCUCGUCAUCCUCUCCUGUCCUGCAGGAAAUCCGUGCUCUUGGCUCCCGCUCCGGGAGAUCUCUGAGUUUGUUCAUCCCCCGACCCCUUGCAGGAGGGGCAGCUCCUCCGUGGUCUCCUGUGGGACCAGCCUCUCCAGAGGACAGCCCACG
rnacentral:lncRNA from 1 species